GCCCUUCCUACGGGAGGCAGCAGUAGGGAAUCUUCCACAAUGGACGAAAGUCUGAUGGAGCAACGCCGCGUGUGUGAUGAAGGGUUUCGGCUCGUAAAACACUGUUGUAAGAGAAGAAUGACAUUGAGAGUAACUGUUCAGUGUGUGACGGUAUCUUACCAGAAAGGAACGGCUAAAUACGUGCCAGCAGCCGCGGUAAUAAGGGCAA
rnacentral:rRNA from 1 species